rnacentral:rRNA from 1 species
CCUACGGGGGGCAGCAGUGGGGAAUAUUGGACAAUGGGGGGAACCCUGAUCCAGCGACGCCGCGUGAGUGAAGAAGUCUUUCGGUAUGUAAAGCUCUAUCAGCAGGGAAGAAAGAAAUGACGGUACCUGACUAAGAAGCCCCGGCUAACUACGUGCCAGCAGCCGCGGUAAUACGUAGGGGGCAAGCGUUAUCCGGAUUUACUGGGUGUAAAGGGAGCGUAGACGGCGAUGCAAGUCUGAAGUGAAAGGCGGGGGCCCAACCCCCGGACUGCUUUGGAAACUGUAUGGCUGGAGUGCAGGAGAGGUAAGUGGAAUUCCUAGUGUAGCGGUGAAAUGCGUAGAGAUUAGGAGGAACACCAGUGGCGAAGGCGGCUUACUGGACUGUAACUGACGUUGAGGCUCGAAAGCGUGGGGAGCAAACAGGAUUAGAUACCCGAGUAGUC